ensembl:snRNA
GUUUUGUAUGAAAGGAGAGAAGGUUAGUACUCCUCUUGACAAGGAUGGAAGAGGCCCUUUGGGCCUGACAACACAAAAAAAAGAAAAGCAACAAAAAAAAAAUAUGUAU